CCCUUGGUGGUGCAAAUGGUUAACACACUUGGCUGCCAACCAAAACGUUGGAGGUUCAAGUCCACCCAAAGGCA
rnacentral:tRNA from 1 species